rnacentral:rRNA from 1 species
GGGCCCGCACAAGCAGUGGAGUAUGUGGUUUAAUUCGAAGCAACGCGAAGAACCUUACCGGGGCUUGACAUCUACCGAAUGCCAAGAGAUUGGCAGUGCCUUCGGGAGCGGUAAGACAGGUGGUGCAUGGUUGUCGUCAGCUCGUGUCGUGAGAUGUUGGGUUAAGUCCCGCAACGAGCGCAACCCUUAUUGUUAGUUGCCAUCAUUAAGUUGGGCACUCUAAUGAGACUGCCGGUGACAAAUCGGAGGAAGGUGGGGACGACGUCAAAUCAUCAUGCCCCUUAUGUCCCGGGCUACACACGUACUACAAUGGCCGUCAACAACGGGAAGCGAAGCCGCGAGGCGGAGCAAAUCCCCAAAAACGGUCUCAGUUCGGAUUGCAGGCUGAAACCCGCCUGCAUGAAGUUGGAAUUGCUAGUAAUCGCGAAUCAGCAUGUCG